rfam:Candidatus Nitrosoarchaeum limnia SFB1 chromosome, whole genome shotgun sequence.
GGACCGGUUGUCUAGUGGUUAGGAUGACGCACUCACACUGCGUAUGGAGAAAUCCCGCAAAGGUCGAGGGUUCAAAUCCCUCCCGGUCCA